GUUGUCUGUGAAGCCUAGUAACCUCAGAGCACCAGACUGUUGUCUGUGAAGCCUAGUAACCUCCCAGCACCAGACUACACACAGACAGAACUGGGCAUCAUAGCAUCAGAAGAGGAAGACCUGACAUUUUCAGCCACUAACACAGAAGGACCAUUGUUACACUUUCCUUUUUUAAAUCCAUGUUAGUUGUUGUGGCAGAGAAUCACUCAGGACCACAAAGGUUCUGAGCUGCCCCUCCCUGUGCCUGAGUAGAAAGGGCCCCCUGUCUGUCUCAGCUGUAAUACCAGUCCAGGGGAGGGUACUAGGUAGAAAGGGCCCCCUGUCUGUCUCGGCUGUAAUACCAGUCCAGGGGAGGGUACUAGGUAGAAAGGGCCCCCUGUCUGUCUCAGCUGUAAUACCAGUCCAGGGGAGGGUACUAGGUAGAAAGGGGCCCCUGUCUGUCUCAGUUAUAAUACAAGUCCAGGGGAGGGUACUAGGUAGAAAGGGCCCCCUGUCUGUCUCAGUUAUAAUACAAGUCCAGGGGAGGGUACUACUUAGAAAGGGCCCCCUGUCUGUCUCAGCUGUAAUACCAGUCCAGGGGAGGGUACUAGGUAGAAAGGGCCCCCUGUCUGUCUCAGCUGUAAUACCAGUCCAGGGGAGGGUACUAGGUAGAAAGGGCCCCCUGUCUGUCUCAGUUAUAAUACCAGUCCAGGGGAGGGUACUAGGUAGUUACAGACAGACAAGUUGUAAGUUGUGUAGUCCAGGACAGGUCAGUUACAGACAGACAGGUUGUGUAGUCUAGGACAGGUCAGUUACACUAGGAGAUAGAUGGUUACAGACAGACAGGCUGUGUAGUCUAGGACAGGUCAGUUCCACUAGGAGAUAGGUGGUUACAGACAGACAGACAGGUUGUGUAGUCUAGGACAGGUCAGUUACACUAGGAGAUAGAUGGUUACAGACAGACAGACAGGUUGUGUAGUCUAGGACAGGUCAGUUACACUAGGAGAUAGAUGGUUACAGACAGACAGGCUGUGUAGUCUAGGACAGGUCAGUUCCACUAGGAGAUAGGUGGUUACAGACAGACAGGUUGUGUAGUCUAGGACAGGUCAGUUACAGACAGACAGGUUGUGUAGUCUAGGACAGGUCAGUUCCACUAGGAGAUAGGUGGUUACAGACAGACAGGUUGUGUAGUCUAGGACAGGUCAGUUACAGACAGACAGGUUGUGUAGUCUAGGACAGGUCAGUUACACUAGGAGAUAGAUGGUUAUAGACAGACAGGUGGUGUAGUCUAGGACAGGUCAGUUCCACUAGGAGAUAGAUGGUUACAGACAGACAGGUCAGUUCCACUAGGAGAUAGAUGGUGACAGACAGGUCAGUUCCACUAGGAGAUAGAUGGUUACAGACAGACAGGUCAGUUCCACUAGGAGAUAGGUGGUUACAGACAGACAGGUUGUGUAGUCUAGGACAGGUCAGUUCCACUAGGAGAUAGGUGGUUACAGACAGACAGGUUGUGUAGUCUAGGACAGGUCAGUUACAGACAGACAGGUUGUGUAGUCUAGGACAGGUCAGUUCCACUAGGAGAUAGGUGGUUGCAGACAGACAGGUUUUGUAGUCUAGGACAGGUCAGUUACAGACAGACAGGUUGUGUAGUCUAGGACAGGUCAGUUCCACUAGGAGAUAGAUGGUUAUAGACAGACAGGCUGUGUAGUCUAGGACAGGUCAGUUCCACUAGGAGAUAGAUGGUGACAGACAGACAGGUCAGUUCCACUAGGAGAUAGAUGGUUACAGACAGACAGGUCAGUUCCACUAGGAGAUAGAUGGUGACAGACAGACAGGUCAGUUCCACUAGGAGAUAGAUGGUUACAGACAGACAGGUCAGUUCCACUAGGAGAUAGAUGGUUACAGACAGACAGUGUAGUAGCAAUAUAAAGAUGAUUAUAAAAUGUGAGAUUAAAGACCUGACGUUCAUACUAAUAUUCAGCCAGUUAACCACAGUCCUGGAGUCAGAUGUUAACUCCUGUCUCUAAAUAGUGGAGGUUAGGGCCCCGUUAACCACAGUCCUGGAGUCAGAGGUUAACUAAAGGACUCCAGCCGGGGGG
ensembl:lncRNA